rnacentral:rRNA from 1 species
AACGUAGGGGACGAGUGUUAUCCGGAUUCAUUGGGCGUAAAGCGCGCGCAGGUGGUGUUUUAAGUUGGGCGUGAAAUCUCCCGGCUUAACUGGGAGGGGUCGUUCAAUACUGAAGCACUUGAGGGCAGGAGAGGGAGGUGGAAUUCCCGGUGUAGUGGUGAAAUGCGUAGAUAUCGGGAGGAACACCAGUGGCGAAGGCGACCUCCUGGCCUGCUCCUGACACUAAGGCGCGAAAGCUAGGGGAGCGAACGGGAUUAGAUACCCUCGUA